GGCUCGGCGGUGCAGAGGGUAACACUUCUGCCUCUCAGCAGGAAAUUUGUGGGUUCGAAUCCGACCUGGAGCCU